UACGUAGGUGGCAAGCGUUGUCCGGAUUUACUGGGUGUAAAGGGCGUGCAGCCGGGCUGACAAGUCAGAUGUGAAAUCCCGCGGCUCAACCGCGGAACUGCAUUUGAAACUGUCAGUCUUGAGUACCGGAGAGGUCAUCGGAAUUCCUUGUGUAGCAGUGAAAUGCGUAGAUAUAAGGAAGAACACCAGUGGCGAAGGCGGAUGACUGGACGGCAACUGACGGUGAGGCGCGAAAGCGUGGGGAGCAAACAGG
rnacentral:rRNA from 1 species